rnacentral:lncRNA from 1 species
AUAAAUAACAUUAAACAUAUUAAAAUUAUUCUAGGGAAUAAUUAUACAACUUAAUUACUUCAAAAAAUUAACAUGCAAGUAUAAAUUACAAUAAUAUAAAUAUAAGUUCGUAAACUUACCUUAAAUAUAGAAUCCUUUGUGUUGAACCUCUGGAAUAGAUUUGGAAUGACUCUGAAAGGGGUAAGGGAAGAAGAAGAAACGAAAAGGUGUAUUAAUUUUCGAAUGGUAAAAAAAUGUGUGAUGAUCUGAUACUCCACCUCUGAGAAUGUGAAAGAAUAACACAGUGGCACACGAUUUUGAAUGGUCUGAAAUUGUAAAA